AUCUUACCUUCAUCCUUUGCUUUUGUAAGGAAACACAACAUGCUUUUACAGAAUUCAGAGGAUGGAAGCUAAAACUUCUGGAUUUGAAAAAUGUUACUGUAGUCCUCCUCUGACAUUAUGACCUGGAUGCCUGCUGGCCCUGCUCUGCAAGGCUGAGGCUGCCUUCCACCUUUGACAUUUUGCCAUGAUCUUUCCUCUUUGAAGGGAGAGCUGAAAGUGGGGAAUCCCUCACAGUGAUCUGUCAUCUGAAUUCUCAUUUAAAUGCAUUUUACUGUGCUCAGAAUGCUAAUUCCCACUGGACUCAACCCGCUUGGGUAUGUACAAACUCAGUUUCUUUCAAGGGGUGCAUCAA